rnacentral:lncRNA from 1 species
GCGAGAGUUUACGUGAUUUUGUGUGUUGUUUUUUCACCUCAACUGCCGAGUACUGAGGGAAGCUCAGGAAGCUCUGAAGAUACAGCAUGGCCAGCACAUCCUCACUCUCCACAAAGAAUGCAGUGACAUAUGAGGAUGUGCAUGUGAACUUUACUCGGGAAGAAUGGGCUUUGCUGGAUCCUUCCCAGAAGAGUCUCUACAAGGAUGUGAUGCUGGAGACCUACAGGACCCUCAGAGCUAUAGGCUGUUAUUGGAAUGACCACAGUAAUGAAGAGAAUUCUCAAACUUCUAGAAGACAUGGAAGGCAUCUUCAAACGGAAGACAGAACUCACACUGGAGAGAAAACCUAUGAAAGUGUGCAAUGUAAUGAAGUGCUUUCGAGUCACAAUCAUCCUCACAUAUAUAAAGGAAUGCUUACUGGAGCC